rnacentral:rRNA from 1 species
CCUACCUCAAAGUGGGGAACAACAGACCGAAAGGUCUGCUAAUACCGCAUACGCUCGUCGAUUCAUUUUGGCAAGUAAAGCCGUAAGGCGCUUUGAGAGGGGCCCGCGUCCCAUCAGGUAGUUGGUGAGGUAAUAGCCCACCAAGCCGAUGACGGGUAGCUGGUCUGAGAGGACGAUCAGCCACAAUGGAACUGAGACACGGUCCAUACUCCUACGGGAGGCAGCAGUGAGGAAUAUUGGGCAAUGGGCGAAAGCCUGACCCAGCGACGCCGCGUGGGUGACGAAGGCCUUCGGGUCGUAAAACCCUUUUGGCAGGGACGAGUGAGGACGGUACCUGUCGAAUAAGUCUCGGCUAACUACGUGCCAGCAGCCGCGGUAAAACGUAGGAGGCGAGCGUUAUCCGGAUUUACUGGGCGUAAAGCGCGCGUAGGCGGUUGGGUAAGUCUGACGUGAAAGCCCCUGGCUCAACUGGGGGAGGCCGUUGGAUACUGCCCGGCUUGAGGGUGAUAGAGGAGAGUGGAAUUCCCGGUGUAGCGGUGGAAUGCGUAGAGAUCGGGAGGAACACCAGUGGCGAAAGCGACUCUCUGGCUCACUCCUGACGCUGAGUGCGCGAAAGCGUGGGGAGCAAACGGGAUUAGAUACCCCGGUAGUCCACGCCCUAAACGAUGAGGGCUGGGUGUCGGCAGGGUUUCCUGUCGGUGCCGAAGCCAACGCGUUAAGC